rnacentral:tRNA from 1 species
GUCUUAUUUGCUCAAGGGCAGUGCAUCUGUCUAAUAAACAGAAAAUCUCUGGUUUGGUUCCAGCAUGAGGCA